AUUUCUUCUCUCCUGCUUAGUUGCAGGAGAGGGGAGCUGUCUCCUGCCUCAGUUUCCCUGUGUUACGCAGGUUAUCUGUUGUUGUGCUGGGACUUUCCAGGAGAAGCACAUGUGAUUCUUCAUAGCAUGCACUCAGAGGAAGUUAUCCAGGAAAAACUCCACAGUUUGCAGCAGCCCAGGGGAGAGACUGAAAACUUCAAGAGGAAAUAAAUCAGAAGCCCAAAUGAAUCUGCUACGCCAGAAACUCAUUUUUUUGGGUAUACAUCAACAGCUGUAUGAACACAGUUUGCAUGUGGGAAACCAGCACAGCAAGGGCAGGCUUUGCUCCAUCCCAUCAACCAGCCUUCUCCAGUCUUGGCCCUGUCCCCAUAUCCUAAUCCAGACAUGGCACUGGGGUGCCCAGUGGGGCAGAAGGGACUGAGGAAGACAUCUGCAUACGGCAGCAAAGGGCUUCCAGCCUUGUGUUGUCAAGUUUGCUCCUCUGAUUGAAGGAGCUGUUG
rnacentral:lncRNA from 1 species